rnacentral:lncRNA from 1 species
AUGAAACAAAAUUGCCAUUCAUCUCAAACAAUCUAAAUCCUUACAUGCAAAUGCCAUCAAAAGGACUUUUCAUAAGCUUGUAAUGAGGCUGGGCUAACAAGAAAAAUUGGUUUUUCUGGACUGCAAAAUCCUUGAGUUAAGAGAGAAAUUGUAUUGUUCAACAUUUAAACCCAACUAUCUUCCUCACCAAUCUCACUUAUUCCCAACUUCUUCCCUUUUUCUUUUACAUUGAGCUCAUUUUCAUGCUUUUCUUCUUUUCUUUUCUUUUUCUCAUGCAAUUUUUUCUUUUUCAACAUUUGAGUUCAAUGCUUUUCAACUGUUUUUCAAUUUUUCCCCAUACCACCCCAAACUCGAACCUUUUCAACACAUACAGUUAAGCUCAUCCCAACUUAAGGUAAAGAAUUUCAAGACAAGGGUUCACAUCCUGUUUAAGGUUAAGGUUCAAAAAGGGUAUAAUAUUUUAAGCACUGUGGGUGAAAAUUUGGCUAGAGAAGGAUUUUCAAAAUGGCCUUGAUCAUAUGACAUUCACAUGCAAUUCAAUCAAUCAUCAAGAUUCAGGCAAUAUCAUUCAUGCUUUCCUGUGAACCAUACAUAUAACAAUGGAAACUC